rnacentral:rRNA from 1 species
GAUGAACGCUGGCGGCGUGCCUAAUACAUGCGAGUCGAGCGAACGGACGAGAAGCUUGCUUCUCUGAUGUUAGCGGCGGACGGGUGAGUAACACGUGGAUAACCUACCUAUAAGACUGGGAUAACUUCGGGAAACCGUAGCUAAUACCGGAUAAUAUUUUGAACCGCAUGGUUCAAAAGUGAAAGACGGUCUUGCUGUCACUUAUAGAUGGAUCCGCGCUGCAUUAGCUAGUUGGUAAGGUAACGGCUUACCAAGGCAACGAUGCAUAGCCGACCUGAGAGGGUGAUCGGCCACACUGGAACUGAGACACGGUCCAGACUCCUACGGGAGGCAGCAGUAGGGAAUCUUCCGCAAUGGGCGAAAGCCUGACGGAGCAACGCCGCGUGAGUGAUGAAGGUCUUCGGAUCGUAAAACUCUGUUAUUAGGGAAGAACAUAUGUGUAAGUAACUGUGCACUUCUUGACGGUACCUAAUCAGAAAGCCACGGCUAACUACGAG